AGUGGGGGAUAACGUAGCGAAAGUUACGCUAAUACCGCAUAUGCCCUGAGGGGGAAAGGAGGGGAUCGCAAGACCUUUCGCUUUCGGAGUGGCCGAUAUCAGAUUAGCUAGUUGGUGAGGUAAAGGCUCACCAAGGCGACGAUCUGUAGCGGGUCUGAGAGGAUGACCCGCCACACUGGGACUGAGACACGGCCCAGACUCCUACGGGAGGCAGCAGUGGGGAAUUUUGGACAAUGGGCGCAAGCCUGAUCCAGCCAUGCCGCGUGAGUGAAGAAGGCCUUCGGGUUGUAAAGCUCUUUCAGACGGAAAGAAAUCGCAUGAUCUAAUACAUCGUGCGGAUGACGGUACCGUCAGAAGAAGCACCGGCUAACUACGUGCCAGCAGCCGCGGUAAUACGUAGGGUGCGAGCGUUAAUCGGAAUUACUGGGCGUAAAGCGUGCGCAGGCGGUUUUGUAAGACAGACGUGAAAUCCCCGGGCUUAACCUGGGAACUGCGUUUGUGACUGCAAGGCUAGAGUACGGCAGAGGGGGGUAGAAUUCCA
rnacentral:rRNA from 1 species